AAGAAAACUCAGUCUAUUAGAACAGGUUUCUUUUUAGCAAAUAUGUACUUACAUAGAGCUGUAAAUCCGGAGUACCUUCUUUAUAUAAAGGAAUGAUAUAACACAUUGGCUGAAUGGUUCUGGUAUUCACACAAAUAUGGAGCUAUAAAUUAUGAAAAGAAAAAAAAAUAGUUGAGUGACGUCAUCAAGUAGCAAAUUUUAUCAGUUUUAGAACUGAUAACCAGAACUGGACGGGACGGGACUGGCACAACACUAACAACGAGUAUGUGUGCUCAUGAAUGACGGAAAGUAACGCUGAUGAGCUUUCCGGGAGUUAUCAGGAUACGGAGUAGGACUGCUUUUAAUUUCCUUUCUCGUAAAAGCUGCAUGUAGCUGAUCUAAUCAAAAGUCAAAGCGGCUAAGAUUUUCUCCUUUUAAACAUUCUUGUAGUUGUCUGGAUUAUCAAGUAAGUUUUAAUUUUGCUUUUUACAUACCGAAAAUACAUAAUUCACAACGCCAUACAUACAUACAUAGUAAAAAAUAAUAUAUAUACGUACAUAAAUAACAAAUAAGUAAAAUUAAUUUAAAAUCCUUAUUUAAUGUAAUUAAUUAUCAGACGGAAAGUAAGAAAGAAAUAGGGAAUGAAGAGAGUUUUAUUUAUUUAUAAUGUGUGUCAUUUCGUUUUUUGUCAGCACGUUUUCUAACUGAGAAAGAGGGACAAAGGAGGCAUCGUAAAAUAAAAGAGGAGUGACAUUCAUUAUUCCAAGCGUUUAGUGCAAUAUAUAAACUAACUGGAUUUUCAUUGAUAGAAGGAGUAAAAGAGGGAGAAUGGGCAUGGGAACAUGAAGAGUUGUACAUAUAUUAGGAUGUUCCGAGGCGUAGAAAGUAUUUUCUUCAUUAGGGUGUCACUUAAGUCCUUGAAAGUUAAAGGAAUAUUACAAUUAAUUCUCCAAAAUUAAUUCAGCCAUUUAUAAAUCUUUUGCUCCAACAUGGGAAGUAAAUAGUGAAGUCAAUCACACUAACUAACCACCUCCAGAAUCAAUAACAGGCUCCCACCUGGCCCGGAGCCUGGUACAUACCAUGUUAAUUAACUGUUUGUCCAAGUUGGUCACUUCCUCGAUAACGGAAGCCGCAUAGGAGUCCACAGUGUCAUCUCCACGUUUCAUUAAAGUCUGUCAGAGUUCAAUAAACGUUGAGAUCCGGUGAGCUAGGAUGUCAUGAGUCUAUUCCUUUUAAUCGUGUAUUUCAUAUAAUUUAUUAUCAGGUAUUAGUUCAAAACGAUCAAGAGUCUUCCUUGAAGGUGUUCUUUACACAUCAAACUCAUUGAAAUCCUUGGUAACAUCCUGAACAGUUGAUUUGGGCAGCAUUGUAAACUUUUUAGGUAGAUAUUUUUUAACCACAUACUUUUUCAACUGGGAUCUAUCAAAAACUGAAUUUGACCUUGUUUGUGGUCUAAGUUUUAUUCAAGAUAAAGAGUGUAAAAUUAAAUAGUGUUAUCUAUAUUAAUAAAGCAAGUUUUUUUCUGUCUGUCUAUUUCAUGGAUUGUCAGAAUAGAACUCCGUUUAACAACAAGCUUAUAUUAAAAAAGAAAAAAAGUGAAGUACACAAUAGGUAAAUUUUUGGUGGAGCAUCGGGAAAAGUAAAGCUAUGCAUCACUGUCCCAUGGACUCUUCCUUAUUGCCCGUAUCGUUUUUAAGGAAGAUAUUUAGUUAAUUAAGGGAAUAAGGCACAUAUGCAAUGGGGAAAAGAUGGUUUUUUUUUGCUUUAUCCCCUGAUUGGCUAAUUGUUACUCUGCCAUAUCAUUUGAUUGGCUAACAAAUUUUGAAUUAUGGGAAAUAAAACCGAAAGAAAAAAAGGAAAAUAUAUUCGUUUAACUUCUUUGAUUUGCAAGUGCAUUUUCGUAACUGAAAUGUCCCCAAAAGGUUUAGGGAUUAAAUUAAAGAUUCUUACAUCUCUUGUUGAGGAAUCACAAGUAAGUCGGGAGUUCUACAUGAAGGAAAGAAAUAAGUUGUGGAAUAUAAUAGACUUUUGCUAGAGUCCUAUUUUUGUAACUAAUUAAUUUAGUUAUAAAAAUAGAAAGAACAGAACUAUGUGAGAAUUAUAAUUUUAAAUGCUUCUUUCAGAUUAGCAUAGAAUAUUUUACACAUUUGAUCCAAGUGAUCCUCUAGUAGAGGAUUUUUCUGCCCAAAUCCUUGCUGCUGGACAAGGCAAUGUGAAUGUGGUGACUGGAAUUGAUUCCGAAACUAGUUUGCAACAGCUAGGUCAAGCUCAGGAAUUAUAUGUCUAAUCUGAUGCUACAGAUUCACAACAAUCACAGCAGUCAUCAGACUUUUAGUUCAGUGCCUAGGAAACUAAAGAAAACGAAUAUAGAACUUCCCAAUUCAAAUUUUGAAACUCCUGAACAAGAAAGAUCAAUAAUUAAUAAAUUUGAUGGACCUUUGAAAAAUGAACUUGGAUUGAAAAUCUACAGGAAGUGGAGCAGGCUGUAGAAUUUACUAUGAAUGAGAAUAUUGGGCAGGUCAUCAACAACGAAGGAAGUCUGCAAAAACAAAUUAAACGUGAUUCUAACUGGUAAAAAAACAGAUUUCUUAUGUAUUUUUUAAAAUAUUUAUCCAUAUAUUUUUCAAAAUAUAGGUGCUGACA
rnacentral:lncRNA from 1 species